rnacentral:rRNA from 1 species
ACGAACGCUGGCGGCGUGCCUAACACAUGCAAGUCAACUUGACUGAAGGAGCAAUCUGACAGUAGAGUGGCGCAAGGGUGCGUAACGCGUAAGUAACUUGCCCCAAGGUAAGGAAUAACGUCGAGAAAUCGGCGCUAAUACCUCAUAAUGCAGCGGAUCCGCAUGGAUAUGUUGUUAAAGGUUUACCGCCUUGGGAUAGGCUUGCGUCUGAUUAGCUAGUUGGUGUGGUAACGGCACACCAAGGCUACGAUCAGUAACUGGUCUGAGAGGAUGAUCAGUCACACUGGAACUGAGACACGGUCCAGACUCCUACGGGAGGCAGCAGUGAGGAAUAUUGGGCAAUGCUCGAAAGAGUGACCCAGCAACGCCGCGUGGAGGAUGAAGGUAUUCUAUAUCGUAAACUCCUGUGAGAGCAGACGAAAGACAGAUUACUAAUCUGGAUGACUGUAUGCUCAGAGGAAGCCCCGGCUAACUACGUG